GAGAGAUAUUGUUUGGAAAUGGGACAAAGAUUGACAUCAAAGGAGCCGACAAUCAGACGGCCGUAAUAGCUCUGUCUCUGUUAUCAGCUGCUUUGGCUAUAAGCUUGAUUAUUAUAGCUUUCCUGAUUCAUAUCAUCAAGACUAAAUCGUGUGAGUCCAGCAAAGCUGCUGAAGUUCUGCAAACACAUCCUGCAGCAGAUCGACGACGCCAGCAGAGCGCUGAGGACUCGUUGGUUUAUUCUGCACCGACUUUUUCUAAGAUUAGAACGGACAAAAGAGAGAAGAGAAAAGUUAAAGCAGCAACAGAAGAGACGAUCUACACCGGGGUCAGAACUCCUCCGACUGGCUAAAUAAAAGAUAUGCUUAAAACAUUAAAUAAUUGAUUUGUAUAUUUUUAAAGACUGUGAGAAAUGUAAAACCUUGCAGCAAUGUGACAAUAAGAAGAGAAUAUCCUUUGUAAUUUUGAACUGUGUAUGAUUUGACAUGUUUUGACUCAUCUGUGUUCAGUCAUUGUUAGAUUGGUUUUAUCACCAAAGGUAGAGUAUUAGCACCAUAAACAAUAUAUGCAGUCGUGCACUAAACUAAA